CAACUUUCAACAACGGAUCUCUUGGCUCUCGCAUCGAUGAAGAACGCAGCGAAAUGCGAUAAGUAAUGUGAAUUGCAGAAUUCAGUGAAUCAUCGAAUCUUUGAACGCACAUUGCGCCUUUUGGUAUUCCGAAAGGCAUGCCUGUUUGAGUGUCAUA
rnacentral:rRNA from 1 species